CGAGCAGGUGCGAAAGCAGGUCAUAGUGAUCCGGUGGUUCUGAAUGGAAGGGCCAUCGCUCAACGGAUAAAAGGUACUCCGGGGAUAACAGGCUGAUACCGCCCAAGAGUUCAUAUCGACGGCGGUGUUUGGCACCUCGAUGUCGGCUCAUCACAUCCUGGGGCUGAAGUAGGUCCCAAGGGUAUGGCUGUUCGCCAUUUAAAGUGGUACGCGAGCUGGGUUUAGAACGUCGUGAGACAGUUCGGUCCCUAUCUGCCGUGGGCGCUGGAGAACUGAGGGGGGCUGCUCCUAGUACGAGAGGACCGGAGUGGACGCAUCACUGGUGUUCGGGUUGUCAUGCCAAUGGCACUGCCCGGUAGCUAAAUGCGGAAGAGAUAAGUGCUGAAAGCAUCUAAGCACGAAACUUGCCCCGAGAUGAGUUCUCCCUGACUCCUUGAGAGUCCUGAAGGAACGUUGAAGGCGACGACGUUGAUAGGCCGGGUGUGUAAGCGCAGCGAUGCGUUGAGCUAACCGGUACUAAUGAACCGUGAGGCUUAACCUUACAACGCCGAAGCUGUU
rnacentral:rRNA from 1 species